ACGAACGCUGGCGGCGUGCUUAACCCAUGCCAGUCGAACGGAAAGGCUCCAGCUUGCUGGAGUGCUCGAGUGGCGAACGGGUGAGUAACACGUGGGCAAUCUGCCCUGCACUCUGGGAUAAGCCUGGGAAACUGGGUCUAAUACCGGAUAGGACCUUUCUCCUCAUGGGGUUUGGUGGAAAGUUUUUCGGUGCAGGAUGAGCCCGCGGCCUAUCAGCUUGUUGGUGGGGUAAUGGCCUACCAAGGCGACGACGGGUAGCCGGCCUGAGAGGGUGAUCGGCCACAUUGGGACUGAGAUACGGCCCAGACUCCUACGGGAGGCAGCAGUGGGGAAUAUUGCACAAUGGGCGAAAGCCUGAUGCAGCGACGCCGCGUGAGGGAUGACGGCCUUCGGGUUGUAAACCUCUUUCAGUAGGGACGAAGCGCAAGUGACGGUACCUGCAGAAGAAGCACCGGCUAACUACGUG
rnacentral:rRNA from 1 species